ACACCUCAACUCUUGUGGUUUGCCACAAUGAGCUUGGAUUUUGGAGGUCUUGCUGGCCUGUGGUCGGCUCCUCCCAAACAAAUCAGCUUGCCAGUGUUUGGUGGCAUCACAGGUGUGAUAAAUAUCUACGCUUGUGGUUUUCUGCCAGAUAACCUUCAGCGAUGGAGGUUCAUUGGAGCUUAUAAACGUCUCUCCUCAGCGAGGACAGCUCUUUGAAUGU
rnacentral:misc_RNA from 1 species